UACGGAGGGAGCUAGCGUUGUUCGGAAUUACUGGGCGUAAAGCGCACGUAGGCGGCUUUGUAAGUUAGAGGUGAAAGCCUGGGGCUCAACCCCAGAAUUGCCUUUAAGACUGCAUCGCUUGAAUCCAGGAGAGGUGAGUGGAAUUCCGAGUGUAGAGGUGAAAUUCGUAGAUAUUCGGAAGAAACACCAGUGGCGAAGGCGGCUCACUGGACUGGUAUUGACGCGUGAGG
rnacentral:rRNA from 1 species